UACGUAGGGGGCAAGCGUUGUCCGGAAUCAUUGGGCGUAAGAGCGUGUAGGCGGCCCGGUAAGUCCGCUGUGAAAGUCCAGGGCUCAACCCUGGGAUGCCGGUGGAUACUGUCGGGCUCGAGUCCGGAAGAGGAGUGUGGAAUUCCUGGUGUAGCGGUGAAAUGCGCAGAUAUCAGGAGGAACACCAAUGGCGAAGGCAG
rnacentral:rRNA from 1 species